rnacentral:rRNA from 1 species
AUGUGGAGUUGCAGUUCCAUGUUGUCAUCAUCAUUCAGGGAUGGACGACGAGCAGCUGAGUUUGCUGCCAUUGGAUUCAUUAAACGGGAGGUCAAUAUGGUUGGCUUUUGCACUGUGGACUUUGCCAAGGGUUCCCCAGAUGCGAUUUUGCUUGAUAAAGCUUGCUUGGUCCUGUGGGAUGAAGCUCCAAUGGUGCGCUGUCACUGUUUCGAAGCUCUUGAUAGAAUUUUCAGAGAUAUACUUGCAGUAUAUGAUAGCUCAAGGUCACUCUUCCCUUUAAGAGGAAAGGUUGUUGUUGUUAGUGGCGAUUUUAAGCAAGUACUUCCUGUUAUGCAAGAAGGUGCUAAGACUGGAAUUAUUGGAGCUUCUCUGGUCAUGUCACCUUUAUGGAGGCAUAUCAAGCUCUACGUGAUGUCUGCAAGGAUUGAGAAGACAAUUGGUCUGAUUGCUUUCGGAAGAGGUGGCAGAAAGAAUAGAAACAAUGAUGCCUAUGUUGAUUCAAAGUAUAGUUAUUAA